UUGUCUGGUCCAGAGGCUUCCCUAGAGUGAAGAGCUCUGCUAUGUAUGCUUUAUGCGGCAGAGGGAGUGCUUUGGAGGAGUUUUAAAAUUUCCGUUUCUUUAAAUGGUAUCCCAUCAGUUUUAAUUAUAGCAGUGAUUCAAGAAACAUUAGCAGGUGCCCAUAACUGUGGCUGGUGGAGAUCCAAAAGUGAACAAGACAGUGUUCGGGCUGCCAAGGUCUUCUUCACUGGAGUAGAUACUAUCGCUGUGGCUGGCUGAGUUCUCAUCUCUCUGCAACCAAGGCUAACUGGUUCUUAGGUUACCUUGAUGCCACACACCGAGAGUCCUUUCUGGAUUUAGUGAUUGGUGCUGCUUAUUUCCACCUUCUCUGAGGAUGGAGCCUCAGAAUAGAGACCAGGUUGAAAAAUCAGUCUUUUACUUAGAACUCUGAAAACAGGUACUACAUCUUAUCCAUCUACAACCCUGUGACCCAGAAGCCAUUAAUUCGACAUUACCAACAUACCUCCACACGAGGACUUCAUAAUCUUCAAUGUGAGAAUUGAAAAAAAAAAAAGACUUAAGCAACUUUGGUGGGGAGGAGAACGAUAACCUAAAUUUUAACUGUCAGAAAAUCUCUAACAGAAAGAUCCCAAUAAUUGCCACUUGGGGGAGAUGGAAGUUCAUGAAUUGCUCUGCUAAUCCCUGAGGCAACAGAGCACUUUAACUGGUUUAUUUAUUCAAAGCUGGAAUUUGGACGUGUGAACCAUCAAGCUUAGGGAAAUUCCUGGAUGAGGAACACAGCCCUGGGAGAAACCUACCAAAGAUGGAAUUAGCACCUUGGCGAACUGCCUUCAGCACAAAGAACUUUCUUUCCUUGUGCGUCUUAAGAAUUUACUUCAGUUCCCUUUUGUCUGAAGCAGAGGAGGCCAAGUUAAACCGUGAAGAAGAGUGCUUAUUUGUCACUACCUGCAAACACAUGAUCCUGUCUAGGAUGCCACAUGUUUCAUUAUCAUAUCUCCUUGGGCUCUUCUGGGCCCUGACAAUUUCUCAGACUUUUCUUCUUUGUGAUGACCUUGACAGCUUUGAAGAGUGCUGGUCAGAACUAAGAAUUGAUUCAGCAUACGGCUUGGCCUAUGGGACAAACACCUUCAUCCCAGCAUCCCAGUAUCCCAGCAUUCCAGCAUUCAAGCUCCAGCUGGGGCUCAGAAAGAGCAGAAGGAUAUAA
rnacentral:lncRNA from 1 species